GGGGAUUACAGGCCUGCGCCGCCACACCCAGCCUCUGAAUAUUUUGACGAACUCAGCCAAAGGUGCCCAUGUGGUCUGCUUUCCGAGGUACUGCAGUAGAAAUUUUAUCCAAUGCUUUUGCCUGACAAAGAUUCCAGCCUUUCUGCCCACCGCCGGGCAGCAGUCUGGGCUGCACAUUUUGGUUACAUAAGUGUACUUCUGGUACCAGGGCCUAUCAGUCAGGGUGGGCCAGAGGUGACAUAGUAACAAAGGAACUCCCAAAUAACAGUGGAUUAACACAACAAAGACUUCUUUCUUCCUGAGACUUACUCUGUGACCCUCCAGAGCAGCUGUCCUCCACUUGGUGACUCAGCAGUCCUGUCUCCUUCCCUCUUCUAAUCCACCAUGUCCACACGUAGCCCCCACAAUGGUCAUGGCCAGAGGAGAGAGAACGUGUGUAUGUGUGUGUGUGUGUGUGUGUGUGUGUGUGGUUCUGGCUCUUAAAUGCUGAAGACGUUUCACUCUUUAUUUAAUUGCAGUACACUGAACUAUAUAUCUCCAGGCCUUUUAUUUUUUAUUUUGAGACAGGGUCUCACUAAGUUGCUCAGGCUGGCCUCCAACCAGUCAUUUUCCUGCCUCAGGCUCCCAGGUGGUUUACAACUGUAGAAGUUUUAAAAGAUGGCUUCCAAAUUAUUUGACAUUUUUUCCUGCGUAAGGGUAGGGAGCACAUCUCCUCCUCUUGAAUGUAGCUUCAGUGACCAACAGACUAGGGUAGAAGCCUCAGGAAUGGUGGCACACACCUGGAGUCCUAGUUGUUGGGAGGCUGAGGCAGGAGGAUCGCGAGUUCAAAGCCAGCCUCAGCCAAAGUGAGGCACUAAGCAACUCAGUGAGACCCUGUCUCUAAAUAAAAUACAAAAUAGGGCUGGGGAUGGGGCUCAGUGGGUUAAGUGCCCCUGAGUUCAUUCCCUGGUACCAAAAAAAGGCAGGAAUCUCACUGGGCAAGAGUUCCAGGAGGUUUUCCAAGGGGGCAAUGGGACCUCGCCGCGCCUGGGUGGGCUUCUUGACUUGCAUCACUGAAAAUAACUUUCGGAGUGUUGAAAGCAAGGCCCAAGCAAAGACGUAUUAAGGGACAGCAAAACAAAGGCACGCACACCCGAGAGGCAGGCAGCCGGCGCGGCCACCUCUCCAAGAAGAGAUGACGGCGACACUCCCAGGGUUGAGCUCCUGACUAUAUAUAGGAUUUUUCUAAGAAGAAAAGUUUAGGUUUCCAGGCAAACUUUUGUGAAAGUCAAAUCCCAUGUCAAUCAUUUGCUAUUUGGGGUUCAUAAUGUUUCUUUCUGGUUAAACUCUCUAGCAAGAAAUCAGCUGGGGGACAUUGUGUCGCUCUUUGACAUUUACAUUGGUUGUUUCUGUUCUGAUUGAUCCAGUCCAAGCGUUCGCUGGAGGUUUUGUUCAUCUAACUAGAGACAAGCAGAGGAUGACUGAGGUGUGGGCUGAGCUCACAGCCCACAGCCAUCACCCACUUGCCAGCGGCGUGACUGAGCCAUCUUGGAAGAGGAUCUGGCACGUCCCAGAUGAAGCCACCCAGCUACUGCCAGGUGGAGUGUCUGGGGCCUUCCUGCAGAGGCCUGCCCAAGUUGCAGUAGGUGAUCAGCUUUCCUCUACCACACGUUUCUGCCAUGAUGCUCUGCUUACCACAGGCCCACAAGCAACUGGGCCAAGCCACCAUGAACUGAAACCUUUGAAGCUCUGAGCCAAAAUAAACAUUUCCUCUUUUCAA